rnacentral:tRNA from 1 species
GGCCCAUUAGCUCAAUUUGGCAGAGCAAUUGACUCUUAAUCAAUGUGUUCUGGGUUCGAGUCCCAGAUGGGUCACAA